GGAGAAAUUCCAAUCGAACUUGGAGAUAGCUGGUUCUCUCCGAAAUAGCUUUAGGGCUAGCCUCGAGGUAAAGAGUCAUGGAGGUAGAGCACUGUUUGGACUAGGGGCCCUUCUCGGGUUACCGAAUUCAGAUAAACUCCGAAUGCCAUGUACUUAUACUCGGGAGUCAGACUGCGAGUGAUAAGAUCCGUAGUCGAAAGGGAAACAGCCCAGACCACCAGUUAAGGUCCCCAAAUAUAUGUUAAGUGGAAAAGGAUGUGGGGUUGCUUAGACAACCAGGAUGUUGGCUUAGAAGCAGCCACCAUUGAAAGAGUGCGUAAUAGCUCACUGGUCGAGUGACCCCGCGCCGAAAAUGUACCGGGGCUAAACAUAUUACCGAAACUGUGGAUGAACCUCUUUAGAGGUUCGUGGUAGGAGAGCGUUCUAAGGGCGGUGAAGUCAGACCGGAAGGACUGGUGGAGCGCUUAGAAGUGAGAAUGCCGGUAUGAGUAGCGAAAGAAGGGUGAGAAUCCCUUCCACCGAAUAUCUAAGGUUUCCUGAGGAAGGCUCGUCCGCUCA
rnacentral:rRNA from 1 species